CAAUACUUUGAUAAAUGGGUAUUGUAAAGCUGGAAAUCUGGGAGAAGCUUUAAAGCUGAUGACUGAAAUGAGGGAAAAAGGUUUCAAGAUGGAUAAGUUUUCCAUAAACACAGUU
rnacentral:miRNA from 1 species